rnacentral:lncRNA from 1 species
UAAGCAUGGUAUGACAUAUGAGAAUGUUAUAAUAGAUAAAAGAUUACACAAGACACGAUUAAAAAUAUAAUUGUAAGAGAAAAAAUUUACAAUAACCAUUUUGUGGAAAAAAUGGAAAAGUCAUUAUAGGUUGUUAGAGAAAGUGCAAAAGAAUACCCUCUAAACACCAAUAAGGAGGAAAAGUAUAGUCUAAUAACCAAGCAUAAAUGAAUCGAGAAAAACUAUGGAUAAACCAACAAAGAAAUUUAACAGUAACACUAUGUUUGGUAGAGUAGUAGAGAAGAGAGAGUUAAGGAAAAGAGAAAUUAAAGAGAGAGAGUGAAGUUCUCCUAUUUGGUAGUGAAGAGAAAUAGGGGAGAGAGACUAAAAACAUGUGGACCCCACAUAAAAUCCUUUCUCUCCAAAGUUGAGAAGAAAGUGAAGGAGAUUAGUGAUAUUUAUUCCUUCUAUGCCCCUAGUCCAAUGUAGUUAAUUUUGUAUCUCUUAUGAUUUCAGUUUUUUUUUUUUCCCACCGUCAACUUUAUAUAAUUUGAAAGUGAAUUUAGGAGAAGCUAUUAUUUUUUUUGCAUCAAGAGUAAGCUAUUUUUGGUAUUCGUAAUUUUUUUUUUGUUGUACUUUUUAUAAUACAGUAUUUUGCGAUUUGCCAAAU